rnacentral:rRNA from 1 species
AAAGCUCAAAUUUAAAAUCUGGCAGUCUUCGAUUGUCCGAGUUGUAAUUUAGAGAAGUGUUGCCCGCGUUGGUCCGUGUACAAGUUUCCUGGAAUGGAACGUCAUAGAGGGUGAGAAUCCCGUCUUUGACACGGAUCCCAGUGCAUUGUGGUACGCUCUCGAAGAGUCGAGUUGUUUGGGAAUGCAGCUCUAAAUGGGUGGUAAAUUCCAUCUAAAGCUAAAUAUUGGGGAGAGACCGAUAGCGAA